GUCUAUGACCAUACCACCCUGAACACACCUGAUCUCAUCUGAUCUUGGAAGCUAAGCAUUGUCGGGUCUGGUUAGUACUUAGAUGGGAGACUGCCUGGAAAUACCAGGUGCUGUAGGCU
ensembl:rRNA 5S_rRNA 5S ribosomal RNA